AGGUUGAAUCCUAAUAACCCUUUAUGCCUCCUCUCUCACACUCAGUAACUCUCUCUCGUUCUAUCUUUCUCUCUUAGCUACUCUCGUUCAAUCCUUCUUUCCUUCUCUCUGUUUGUUGCAGGUGUGUAAUAAGGUGAUGGGGGCCCGCGGCUUGGGUCGUAUGACAGGGAGGCUCGAUUCGUGGGUCUAUGGCGUGGCUCGCUCGUGGGUACGACGGUGCUUGCGGCGGUGGGUAUACGACAUGGCUCGACUGGUCCAUCUUCCAUCAGAUACGAUUUGGGGUUUGUAGAUUCAACUUGUUUCCGUGUCUAUGUGAAAGUCAGAUGUGAAGAGAUGGUGGAGACAACUGACUUAACAUUAAUGUAGUUGCAGGACUAAUGAGAAUAAUUGCUAGGAUACAUAUACUUGGGGCUCUAAACGGUGUGAAGAUGGACUUGGCAAAUGUUGUUUCCCCUUUGCUUAUAGGUAUAAGAAAUUUUUUACAUUCUUGUAUAUAUUAUGGAGCUCUAUUAUUUGAUCUUGAUUUAAGUUAUGUCCAAUUUGGUUUUUUUAUGUGCUUAAGGUUUUAUGUGAGAUUGUAUAUAUUUGAAGCUAUUGUGAUAAUACAUCCUUCUCUUGUAGCUUUUGUACUUUUGAUAGUAUUUUUUUAGUUUUAUAUUUUAUUGCCUAAGUUUAUUAUUGUAAAUUUAUUAUACAUUUGGAAGUUGUAUUGUAUUAUAAUCACGGCUCUGGUUUUGUGUCAAUUACUAUCGAUUGCCAUAACAUGCAUGAGAAAUUAAGUACUUUACAUUCAUUUUUACAUAUUAUAUGUUCGUACUUGAAUUUUUUAUGCACGUUAGUUACUCCCCGCAUAUUUGAAGCUUUUCAAUUCAUGUUCCUUGCAGAUUGUGAAUUUCAAACUUGACUGUAAUCCAACUGCAAGGAUUACAGUGUUCAUUUCUUAAUUUAAAAGUCCUAUGCUAGGAUCUCACUAUGUUUCUAGCAACAACAGUCUAUUGGUUUAAGGUCUAUAGGGAGCAGCUAGCG